rnacentral:rRNA from 1 species
CGCAGCCUGAUCCAGCCAUGCCGCGUGUGUGAAGAAGGCCUUAUGGUUGUAAAGCACUUUAAGCGAGGAGGAGGCUACUUUAGAUAAUACCUAGAGAUAGUGGACGUUACUCGCAGAAUAAGCACCGGCUAACUCUGUGCCAGCAGCCGCGGUAAUACAGAGGGUGCAAGCGUUAAUCGGAUUUACUGGGCGUAAAGCGCGCGUAGGCGGCUAAUUAAGUCAAAUGUGAAAUCCCCGAGCUUAACUUGGGAAUUGCAUUCGAUACUGGUUAGCUAGAGUGUGGGAGAGGAUGGUAGAAUUCCAGGUGUAGCGGUGAAAUGCGUAGAGAUCUGGAGGAAUACCGAUGGCGAAGGCAGCCAUCUGGCCUAACACUGACGCUGAGGUGCGAAAGCAUGGGGAGCAAACAGGAUUAGAUACCCUGGUAGUCCAUGCCGUAAACGAUGUCUACUAGCCGUUGGGGCCUUUGAGGCUUUAGUGGCGCAGCUAACGCGAUAAGUAGACCGCCUGGGGAGUACGGUCGCAAGACUAAAACUCAAAUGAAUUGACAG